rnacentral:rRNA from 1 species
CCCUUAGAUGUCCUGGGCCGCACGCGUGCUACACUGACACUUACACCGAGUUUUUCCAAUGCCGAAAGGCCAUUGGUAAUCAGCAAUAAGUGUCGUGAUGGGGAUAGAUCUUUGGAAUUAUUGAUCUUGAACGAGGAAUGCCUAGUAAUCGCAGGUCAUCAGCCUGCGAUGAUUACGUCCCUGCCCUUUGUACACACCGCCCGUCGCUCCUACCGAUUUCGAGUGGUUCGGUGAACCUUUCGGACCGGCAAUGCCUCGUGUUGCGCCGGAAAGUCAAGUAAACCAUAUCACUUAGAGGAAGGAGAANUCGUANCA